rnacentral:sRNA from 1 species
AGUGAUAGUGCUUUUAAGAUGUUUAAAGUUGGCUCAGGAUUAAAUGAGUUAAUAUGGGAAGUGCGGAGGCCCAGCCAGUGCAAGCACUGAAGACUCUUUUCAUCUUGUCGGAGGCCGCCCAUCCCUCCCUGGGCUACCUCUCAGGGGCCUUCGCUCUCCGACACUGGAGCCUCCAUUUCCCCCUUGCGGUCCCCACAUGCACUGCCCCUGUCUUGGGACAGCCCUGAGGGUACUGGAGGGCAGGGAAGCGUUCGCCCCUUGGGACCCUGGAGGAGGAGCAGGUGGAGGAGGCAGAGCCAGGAGGGCGGGCCUAGCCGGCGCCUGGUACAUAGUAGGUGCUCCAUAAAUGUUUAUUGAAUGAAUGAAUGGAGGCCAUGCAGGCAGAGGCAGCCGUGCUGCGCAGGCACUGGUGAAAGAGCGGGUCCAGUGGACACUGGUGACAAAUUCUACCGCCAGUAAUCACUUGUGAAAAAUCAACAGUGAAGCCCAGCGGCUCCCGGUCCCCCGGAGAAAUCUGAGUGGAUUUCUGGAAGAACAAGUCCAAUCUCUGCCCUGCUGCCCUCCAUCUGCCUAUUUCUCUCCUAGACUUCGGCUUCAGAAAAAUGUGGUUUCAAAGCUGCAGUCCCGGCCUUCCUCAGCUGUGUGACCUUGGUUAUGUCCACGUGCCCAUUGCCUCGCCUGGGCCUCACUUUUCUCAUCUGUAUCAUGGAGUUGGCACCACCGGCUCUGCCCUCAAGGUUUGCCGCGCCUGCAGAGGCCCCUGAGCAUUCAGCAGGUGCUCACUCAGCAGGAGCUGCCAGACACUGAAUGUGUGAUGGGAAUCAUUGGAUGCUGCCGCCUCUCCGCCCACCCGCCACCUGACACUGCCUCCUGGCUCUCCAUCACUGCCCAGGAGUCGGGCAGCCUCCCCGCUCCCUGCUAUUUCUUCUCUGCACCUGACGCCGCCUCCUGGCUCUCCAUCACUGCCCAGGAGUCGGGCAGCCUCCCCGCUCCCUGCUAUUUCUUCUCUGGAGCUUCCCAGGAGGUUAAUAGCAGCUUCUCACCAGGAUAUUUGGCUUUUUAAGGAAUCUUGUUGCCUCUUUCUUCUCUGUGAGGAUAUUCUCAGGAUGGUUGUGGUGGAGAAGGGAAGGAAGGAGACUCUCGAGGCAUUUGCCAACUAAGGGGGGCACUUAGGGGUAGGUGGGGGGGGCAGUUCCGGGCAGAACUUGGGGCAGACAGUGCCCUGUUUCCAGAACAGCUCCCAGUGCUGGGCUGGGCUGGGCUUAAAUGCAGUGGGAGAAGCUCAAGGGUGGGGUGGGGUCACAGGCUCCACUUGGAAUGGGCCAGGUCAUUUGACUAUGGGGGCAUUUCUGAGCCUGGUGGGGCCUCAGUCUCCCCUCCCGGAAGAUGGGCCUGAUGAUCCAUGCCAGCCUGUAAAGGAAGGGAAAGAGUUUUGCUGAGCUGCAGAAGGAGGUGCAGACAAGGCGAGGGGCUGGGUGUUGGGGGAGGCCAGCUGAGCGCCCAGGACCCCUCUGGCCCCACCCCAGGUCCUUGGGCUCCACCUGCUCUCAGCCCUGCCCUGAGCUCAGGAAUGGUCCCAGGCCUGAGAAGGAGGUCAAAACUCUGCAGCCCUUCCACUACUACUUCGGGGGGCUCAGCACAGCUCCUCUGGGCUCAGGUCCCCAGGCCUUUCCCUGAUGUAACCCCCCAAUCAGGCCCGCCCAGUAGGGGAGGUCCACCUCUUAUGUGUGUGUUUUAAAUUGCAGUAAAAUGUACGUAACAUGAAAUUUACCAUUUUAUCUCUGUAAGCAUACAGGUCCGUGGCAUUCGGUACAUUCACAUUCCUGUGUGGCCAUGACCACCAUCCAUUUCCGGGGCUUCUGCAUGAUCCCGAACAGAAGCUUGCAUGCCCUGCGCCACGCCCCCUCCCAUGUCAACCCCCGUAACCGCUGGUCUUCGUCUCUAUGAAUUAAACUAUUCCAGGUACCUCCC